GACGUAGGGCGCGAGCGUUGUCCGGAUUUAUUGGGCGUAAAGAGCUCGUAGGCGGCUUGUCGCGUCGACUGUGAAAUCCCGCGGCUCAACUGCGGGUCUGCAGUCGAUACGGGCAGGCUAGAGUUCGGUAGGGGGAGACUGGAAUUCCUGGUGUAGCGGUGAAAUGCGCAGAUAUCAGGAGGAACACCGGUGGCGAAGGCGGGUCUCUGGGCCGAUACUGACGCUGAGGAGCGAAAGCGUGGAGAGCGAACAGG
rnacentral:rRNA from 1 species